CAACUGGCUCCACUGUCUACAUUGACAAGACAAUUAAUUCUUUAAGAGCUAUACAGCUUCAGAGAAGUGAUCUUGCUAAUUAGACAAAGGCAUAUCUUUAGAAACCAGUUUUUGAUCUGCAAAAUGUCUGGUGAAAAACUCUAGUGUAUGUUUUAAAGACAUACACUAAUGGAGACUGAGUUUCUUUUAUUUUCUACAGAGCUGACUUUUAUGUCCUACAUAGUUUGUAAUGGGAUGGGUAAUAUAGUAGGUGUGUUAUUUGUAUGACAAACAAAGUGGAACGUUAAUAAAGUAAAAAUCUGUGCAUGAUAAAAAGCCUUUUCCUUUUGUCUGUUUGUCCCUAUUUGAGGUAAUUUUUCAUUUUCUAUUGUCUUUUUAUUGAGAGUAUCUGAUUCUUAUUCCUUAUUAUGAACCUGCUAUUUUUAGACUGUCAUCUUUUUUAUAUUAGUUAUCUCACUCUUCUUUAUGUUGAACUUCUUUUCAGAUAAAGCAGUUCCAGUGAUGGUUGAAGACGUCUGGACUAAGUUGUAAAUUGUAUCUAUAAAGAGCCAGACCAAAGUGAAGACCCUCCCCACUGUAUGACAAAGUAUCCAACAUGGCUCCUUCCCUCAGCAGAGAACAAAUGCUUCAUAGUGUUACACCUUUCUGAAGGAAAUUCUUGGGCAGUGUUACCAGGGAAUCAGGGAUCCAGCAGCCAAGCAGUGGAGCUCCAUUUCCUUGCUACAGGGCACAGACUCAUCUUCUUCUUGCUCCUCCCUCCCCCGUUUUCUCCCCCUU